AACAAGGCAAAUCUAGGAUUAGGAGUCAUCAGCAAUGAUGCUAGCGUUGCAUCUUCUAUCAAUGGAUGAUAGGAAUGUACUGGAAGAGCUAAAGACGAUAACAUAGGGAUGAACCUCCACGCUCAUAGUUGUGAUGCACUUUUCUGCAGUACCACAGUCCUUUGGGAUGGCACGAGACCCUGACUUGGUGUUGUUUAAAUAGCUAGGCUUUGCACUGAAACUUUUACUCUUUCUUCUACCUUGCUUUAUACGCACUUCUGAAUUCCAGAAAAUAAUGGAGGAGAAAUUUGCCCCACAACUCUCAGCCUUUCCACUGAAACUCUACUCUGUUUCCUCUGCUUUGCAAUAUCUGAACUUCCUGGAUUUGCUACGGCUCAGUUUUCAGGUUGUGAACUAGGAAGAAAUUGGGAAGAAGAAGAAGCAACUGUUGGGAGUUGUAACUUUCGCAACCAUUCUUUCUUGGAUGUGUGGCUCAGAUAUGAACAAAAAAAUGCACAAGAGGAAUCCUCUGCAAUAGUAAUGUCUAAAGCACGAUAUCCUAUACACAAUACAGCUAAUUCCUCA